rnacentral:snRNA from 1 species
ACAUGGAGGGUGAUCUGGUUGCAACAUCUGUCACCCUAUUUAUUAUCAUGGUUGAGUGGGCCGAUCUGGCUGGCUAGGCAGGUGCCCCCUUGCUCCCUCACAUUGCAUGUGCGCCCCUCCUAAAGUUGCGUGCACUGUUCAAGAGGAUGACCUUCCACAAUCAGACAGACCAGCAUUCGGUCCAGAGUAUAGGAGUGGCUGUGCUCCCCUGCUAGAACCUUAAAACAAGCUUUCAGUGUCCUUUCUAUCUCAUAUAUGAAAUUAUCUCUCUACAUGUGAAAGAAGUAAGAUAAGCUUUAAUAAAAAUAAUU